rnacentral:piRNA from 1 species
UCCAAGAUGAAGUUUUUGACUCAUUCAAGU